AUGCUUGUCUUCCCAGCACAGAUACCCAAACAGUACCAAACAAUACAGAAAAGAUCAGCAUGGUUCCUGCACAAAAUAUGACACACAAAUUCAUAAAAUGUUCCAUACUUUA
ensembl:snRNA U6 U6 spliceosomal RNA